ACGGAAGCCCGACGAGGCCAAGGUCGAUCCGGAAGAGAAGGACCGAUCUCCCGAAGCGGGAGUCCCAGCACGGACCACGGCACCCACGCGGAGCACGCCGCGACAAGGGCAGAAGCGUUGUGGGCCUGCGUAAUCGCGAAGAGAGAAAACUCAUCAGACUUCUUGGGUGAAGUCCGAGUUAGAUGCGUCGUGAAAGCGCCGAGGCCACCCACACAACCCACAUUGCACGCUUGGUAACCGGAGGAUCCGUGCUAACGGGCGGCGGGCCGAUUCACUCGGACCGUCGCCCGUUUUUAUGU
rfam:Mycobacterium abscessus subsp. abscessus strain 57 genome assembly, contig: ERS244815SCcontig000005